rnacentral:tRNA from 1 species
GGUGGGGGUUCCCCGAGCGGCCAAAGGGAGCAGACUGUAAAUCUGCCGUCAUCGACUUCGAAGGUUCGAAUCCUUCCCCCACCACCA